AGCUUUGUGCAGUGGCAGUAUCAUAUCCAAUGAGGUUUAUCCGAGGCGUGAUUAUUGCUGAUUGAAAACUUUUCCCAAUACCCCACAUGACGACUUGAAACAUAGAUGGCAUUGGCAAUUUUUGACAGUCUCUACAGAGA